rnacentral:rRNA from 1 species
AUUGAACGCUGGCGGCAUGCCUAACACAUGCAAGUCGAACGAGGUGUAGCAAUACACCUAGUGGCGGACGGGUGAGUAAUACGUAGGAAUCUGCCUCAGAGUGGGGGAUAGCCCGGGGAAACCCGGAUUAAUACCGCAUGAUCUCCACGGAGCAAAGCAGGGGACCGCAAGGCCUUGCGCUCUGAGAGGAGCCUACGUCUGAUUAGCUAGUUGGUGGGGUAAUGGCCUACCAAGGCGACGAUCAGUAGCUGGUCUGAGAGGACGAUCAGCCACACCGGAACUGAGACACGGUCCGGACUCCUACGGGAGGCAGCAUG